CUUGCCUGUCAUCGUGAGCCCUCAUAGUGAAUGGCAUAGGGGACAAGAUCAGAAAUGCCUGAUCAACAAUAACGGUGAGCAUUUAUUGAGCACGUACUGCACGCCAGGCCAUGUUAUAACCUUACUUCAGCCUCCCGAGUAGCUGGGAUUACAGGCAUGCGCCACCACGCCUGGCUAACUUUGUAUUUUUAGUAGAGACGGGGUUUCUCCAUGUUGGUCAGGCUGGUCUCGAACUCCCAACCUCCGGUGACCCGCUCGCUUCGGCCUCCCAAAGUGCUGGGAUUACAGGCCUGAGAGCCACCGCACCCGGCCGGACCUGGUUCAUUUUAAAAUUGUUGUCUUAAUCUUAGUUGCUUAACUGCUUGCAAUUCUGUGUGUUGGCUGGUGGUUCCUCUGUGGGCUUCCCCUGGGCUUGUGCAUGCGGCUGCUUCUGGCUUUCAGCUGUGCUGGCUGGGCUAAGGUGGCCUCAUUCAUGGUGACAUGGGAUUCAGAUGGGAUCCAGAUGGGAUUCAGAUAGCAGCUGAUUGUUGGCUGGGGCACCUCUGUACUGCAUCUGGGCUCUCAUCAUCCAGAAGGUUAGACUGGCUUCUGUACGUGGUGUUUUCAGCACAGCAUCCAGGAGCCCUAGGCCCAGAUGUCCCAUAAAGUCUCUUUCUCCCAUUUAUUCUAUCUCAAAGCAAGUCAAACACCAGCCCAGGGCUUCCAGGAAACUGCUCCUCGCUCCUUGUUGGCCCACAGACUUCAUUUGUACUCACUAGCAGAGGGAUAAGAUUACUCUUUGACUCAUCCGGCCCUCCAAGGCAGGGCAGGGAAUGGGGUCACUUACCUAAGGCACCUGGGUUGCCUGCAUGCCCGUUAGGAGGAGACAGAUCAAGCACGUAGUCACGCUGCGCUGUGUUGCUUCCCUCCGCUUCUUUUGCUCCUGGGUAAAUAGGGCGGGGGAGGUGAGAUUGGAAGGAUGCCAGGAAUCUUGGGCCCAGCUGCUGCUUUAUGACUUAGGGAUAUAACUGCUUCUGACUCAUGCGUGCUUGGCUCUUUGUGAUUAUGUGCUGAGACACGUCAGCGGGAGGCUGCCCCGGAAUGUCUCCCCAUGCGAAUCGAGGGUGGGGCCUCUGCUGAGUCACCUCUGGCUCCUAGAAGCCUGGCUCAGGGUCAGCUCAUUUGAAAAGCGGCUGCCUUUUCUUCUUUUCUCUUCUCUUCUCUUUUUUUUUCUCUCUCUCUUUCAUUCACAUUAUAGCUUGAGUCAGAACUUCAUUCCUUUUUAAGGCUGAAGGACCACAUUUUGCUUGUUUGUUCAUGUGAUCGAUGAUGAUGGACACUUAGGUUGUUUCCACUUUUUAGCUAUCGUAAACACUGUUGCUAAUGGAAUAUGGGUGUACAAAUAUUUCUUCAAGAUCUUGCUUUCAAUUCUUUUGGGUAUAUACCCAGAAGUGGAACUGCUGCAUCAUAUGGAAUCCAUUCCCAGGGAAAUUCUCACCACAUAGCACAUGAACACAGGUGCCAGGAUGCAGCUGCACCUUCCUUUGUGGAGCAAAAACUUGGAAAUAUCCUUAAAAGUGAUUAAGUAAAUCAGAGUAUGAACUGUGCUCUGGAGUGCAAGACCGCGGACUAUGGCUUUCUGGAUUCUCUGGUGACACCUGCUGGCACAAAGGGAUACUGCAGCCCAGCUUGGAAGAGGAAAUGUGGACACAGACACAAACAGAGGGAGGGCCAUGUGAGCCCAGAGCAAGAAGGCGGCCAUCUACAAGCCCCGGAGCGAGGCUGCGGGAGAAGCCAGCCCCGCUCACACCUUGACAACAAUCUCUGUUGAUUAAACCACACAGUCUGCAGUCCUCUAUUACGGAAGAACAUUCCAACACAGACCACAACACCUAUGGACCUGGAAAACAUUGUGCUCAGUGAAAGAAGCCAGACACAGAAGGACAAUGUUGUAUGAGGUCUUAUUCUGUUGCCCAGGCUGGACUGCAGUGGUGCAAUCCUAGCUCACUGCAGCUUCGACCUCCCGUGCUCAAGUGAUUUUCCCACCUCAGCCUCCCGAGUAGCUGGGACUACAGGUGCGUGCCACCACGCCUGGCUGAUUUUUCUUGUAUUUUUUUGUAGAGAUGGGGGUAUCGCUAUGUUGCCCAGGCUGGUCUUGAACACUUGGGCUCAAGUAAUUCUCCCGCCUUGGCCUCCCAAAGUGCUGGGAUUACAGGUGUGAGCCACUGUGCCUAGUGUGAAUGCAUUUAAUGCCACUGAAUUGUACACUUAAUAAUGGUGAAAAAUAUAAAUAUUCUGUUAAAUAUUUUACCACAAUAAAAAAAUGUGUGACAGUUGUCAGAAUCAAAAUGGUGUCACUAAUGUUUUUUUUUUUUUUUUUUUUUUUUUUUUUGAGAUGGAGUCUCGCUCUGUUGCCCAGGAGGGAGUGCAGUGGUGCGAUCUCGGCUCACUGCAAGCUCCGCCUCCCAGCUUCACACCAUUCUCCUGCCUCAGCCUCUUGGAGUAGCUGGGACUGCAGGCACCCGCCACCACGCCCAGCUAAUUUUUUGCAUUUUUAGUAGAGACGGGGUUUCAUCGUGGUCUCGAUCUCCUGACCUCGUAAUCCGCCCUCCUCAGCCUCCCAAAGUGCUGGGAUUACAAACGUGAGCCACCGCGCCUGGCCUGGUGUCACUAAUGUUAAGAAAACCUUCACAAAUAGAGGCAGACCAUGAAGAGAGGGGUCUCAUUCUUAUAUGCCUGAUAAAGAAAGACUUUAAGAACUACAACCCUUGGCGGGGUGCAGUGGCUCAUGUUUGUAAUCCCAGCACUUUGGGAAGCUGAGGCAGGUGGAAUACCUGGGGUCAUGAGUUCGAGACCAGCCUGGCCAAAAUGGUGUAACACUGUCUCUAUUAAAAAUACAAAAAAAAUUAGCCAGGCGUGGUGGCAGGCGCCUGUAAUCCCAGCUACUCAGGAGACUGAGUCAGGAGAAUCGCUUGAACCUGGGAGGUGAAGGUUGCAGUGAGCAGAGAUAGCACCACUGCAUUCCAGCCUGGGCAACAGAGUGAGACUCUGUCUCAAAAAAUUAAAAAAAAAAAAAAAAAAGAAGCCGGGUGCGGUGGCUCACGCCUGUAAUCCCAGCACUUUGGGAGGCCAAGGUGGAUGGAUCACAUGAGGUUGAGAGUUUGAGACCAGCCUGACCAACAUGGAGAAACCCCGCCUCUACUAAAAAUACAAAAUUAGCCAGGUGUGGUGGUGCAUGCCUGUAAUCCCAGCUACUCGGGAGGCUGAGACAGGAGAAUCGCUUGAACCCGGGAGAUGGAGGUUGCGAUGAGCUGAUAGUGUCAUUGCACUCCAGCCCAGGCAACAAGAGCAAAACUCUGUCUCAAAAAAGAAAAUAUUUAUUUUUAGAGACAAGGUCUUGCUCUGUCACCGAGGCUGGAGUGCAGUCAUAGCUCACUGGAGCCUUGAAGUCCUGGGCUCAGGCAGUCCUCCUGCCUCACCUCCCAAGUAUCUGAGACUACAGGCAGGCACCACUAUGUCCAGUUAAUUUUUAAAUUUUUUCAUAGAGAUGGAGUCUCACUAUGUUGCACAGGCUGGUCAGUCUAGACAAUUUUAAAUUAAAUAUGUAACUCACAUUAACAGGUCACAUUAUUUAUUUAUUUAUUUAUUUAUUUAUUGACACAGGGUCUCGCUCUGUUGUCCAAGCUGGAGUACAGUGGCACAAUUUCGGCUCACAGCAACCUCUGCCUCCCGGGUUCAAGCGAUUCCCCUGUCUCCGCCUCCCGAGUAGCUGGGAUUACAGGCGCCCACCACCACGCCCGGCUAAUUUUUGUAUUUUUAGUAGGGACAGGGUUUCACCAUGUUGGCCAGGCUGGUCUUGAACUCCUGGCCUCGUGAUCCACCCGCCUUGGCCUCUCAAAGUGCUGGGAUUACAGGCAUGAGCCACCAUGCCCAACCGCAGACAUCUUUUUGUUUUGUUUUUUUUUCUUUUUUUUUUUCUUUGGAGAUGGUGUCUCGCUCUGUUGCCCAGGAGGGAGUGCAGUGGCAUGAUACCUGCUCACUAUAGCCUCGAACUCCUGGAUUCAAGCGAUCCUCCCACCUCAGCCUCCUGAGUAGCUGGGCCUACAAAUGUGCAACACCACGCCUGGCUAAUUAAAAAGGUGACAGAGAGACCCUGUCUCAAAAAGCAAACAAACAAAAAACGACACAUGUGCGUGUGUGUGUGUGUGUGUGUGUGUCUGUGGAGAGAGAGAGAGAGAAAGAAGGAGAAUAUGAUACAUCAAAUGUAGUAAAAUGAAAACAUUUGGGAAAUAUUUGAAGUAUUUGUAACUUUUCUCUAAGUCUGAAAGUAUUUCAAAAUUAAAAAAAAAUUUAAAAGGUGAAUAGUGCCAGGUGUGUUGGUGCACGCCUGAAAUCCCAGCACUUUGGGAGGCCAAGGCAGGUAGAUCACCUGAGGUCAGGAGUUCGAGACCAGCCUGGCCAACAUGGAGAAACUCCGUGUCUACUAAAAAUACAAAAAUUAGCCAGGCAUGGUGGUGGGCACUUGUAGUCCCAGCUACUCGGGAGGCUGAGGCACGAGAAUUGCUUGAAUCUAGGAGGUGGAGGUUGCAGUGAGCUGAGAUUGCACCACUGCACUCCAGCCUGGGCGACAGAGCAAGACUCUGUCUCAAAAAAAAAAAAAAAAAAAAAUGGUGAAUAGUACCAAGCGGUGGUGGAAGAUAUGGGAUAUAAAACCCUUGGGCACAGCUGGUGUGAGUGGAGACGGGACAGCCUUUCUGUAGAGCACCUGGUACUUAGUCAAAUUAGUCCCCCCAUCCCCUACAACCUACUCUCAAGCCAAAGUCCCAGAGACAUCCUCACACCAGCCCUAGAGGGUGCAAGGAGGUGGCAGCUCACCUUAUCUGUGGUGGGGCAGGUUGGGGGUCACUUGGGUGUCUACCCCAGGGACUGGGCGGCUGAGACUGGGGACUGCUCAUAGAAAGGACCGUGGAUGAGCCACAGCUACAAAACCCUUCACACAAGUGUUCAUGCCACAAAGUAGCCACAUGUGUUUUGCAG
rnacentral:lncRNA from 1 species